UCUGCCUACGGGACGCAGCAGUGAGGAAUAUUGGUCAAUGGGAGAGAUCCUGAACCAGCCAAGCCGCGUGAGGGAAGACGGCCCUAUGGGUUGUAAACCUCUUUUGUCGGAGAACAAAACCCGGGACGUGUCCCGGACUGCGUGUAUCCGAAGAAAAAGCCACGGCUAACUACGUGCCAGCAGCCGCGGUAAUACGUAGGUGGCAAGCGUUAUCCGGAUUUAUUGGGCGUAAAGGGAACGCAGGCGGUCUUUUAAGUCUGAUGUGAAAGCCUUCGGCUUAACCGGAGUAGUGCAUUGGAAACUGG
rnacentral:rRNA from 1 species